GCAGUCUAGUUAGCAUUAUACCGCGAAACUGCGAAUGGCUCAUUAUAUAAGUUAUCGUUUAUUUGAUAAUACUUUACUACUUGGAUAACCGUGGUAAUUCUAGAGCUAAUACAUGCUGAAAAUCCCGACUUCGGAAGGGAUGUAUUUAUUAGAUUAAAAACCAAUGCCCCUCGGGGCUCUCUGGUGAAUCAUGAUAACUAGUCGAAUCGACAGGCCUUGUGCCGGCGAUGGCUCAUUCAAAUUUCUUCCCUAUCAACUUUCGAUGUUUGGGUAUUGGCCAAACAUGGUGGCAACGGGUAACGGAGGGUUAGGGCUCGACCCCGGAGAAGGAGCCUGAGAAACGGCUACUACAUCCAAGGAAGGCAGCAGGCGCGCAAAUUACCCAAUCCCGACACGGGGAGGUAGUGACAAUAAAUACUGAUACAGGGCUCUUUUGGGUCUUGUAAUCGGAAUGAGUACAAUUUAAAUCCCUUAACGAGGAACAAUUGGAGGGCAAGUCUGGUGCCAGCAGCCGCGGUAAUUCCAGCUCCAAUAGCGUAUAUUAAAGUUGUUGUGGUUAAAAAGCUCGUAGUUGAACCUUGGGCCUGGCUGGCCGGUCCGCCUCACCGCGUGCACUGGUCCGGCCGGGCCUUUCCCUCUGCGGAACCCCAUGCCCUUCACUGGGUGUGGCGGGGAAACAGGACUUUUACUUUGAAAAAAUUAGAGUGCUCAAGGCAGGCCUAUGCUCGAAUACAUUAGCAUGGAAUAAUAGAAUAGGACGUGUGGUUCUAUUUUGUUGGUUUCUAGGACCGCCGUAAUGAUUAAUAGGGACAGUCGGGGGCAUCAGUAUUCAAUUGUCAGAGGUGAAAUUCUUGGAUUUAUUGAAGACUAACUACUGCGAAAGCAUUUGCCAAGGAUGUUUUCAUUAAUCAGGAACGAAAGUUAGGGGAUCGAAGACGAUCAGAUACCGUCGUAGUCUUAACCAUAAACUAUGCCGACUAGGGAUCGGACGAUGUUACAUUUUUGACGCGUUCGGCACCUUACGAGAAAUCAAAGUGCU
rnacentral:rRNA from 1 species